rnacentral:sRNA from 1 species
UGACGGAGUCUUCCAUGCCGAACAGUGAC